CGGCGUGCUUAACACAUGCAAGUCGAACGGAGCAUUUGCGACGGAUUCUUUCGGGAUGAAGAUGCUUAUGACUGAGUGGCGGACGGGUGAGUAACGCGUGGGUAACCUGCCUUAUACAGGGGGAUAGCAGUUGGAAACGACUGGUAAUACCGCAUAAGCGCACGGUACCGCAUGGUACAGUGUGAAAAACUCCGGUGGUAUGGGAUGGAUCCGCGUCUGAUUAGCCAGUUGGCGGGGUAACGGCCCACCAAGGCUACGAUCAGUAGGGGUUCUGAGAGGAAGGUCCCCCACAUUGGAACUGAGACACGGUCCAAACUCCUACGGGAGGCAGCAGUGAGGAAUAUUGGUCAAUGGGCGAGAGCCUGAACCAGCCAAGUAGCGUGCAGGAUGACGGCCCUAUGGGUUGUAAACUGCUUUUAUAAGGGAAUAAAGUGAGCCUCGUGAGGCUUUUUGCAUGUACCUUAUGAAUAAGGACCGGCUAAUUCCGUG
rnacentral:rRNA from 1 species